rnacentral:rRNA from 1 species
AUUGAACGCUGGCGGCAUGCCUUACACAUGCAAGUCGAACGGCAGCACGGGUGCUUGCACCUGGUGGCGAGUGGCGAACGGGUGAGUAAUACAUCGGCACAUGUCCUGUAGUUGGGGAUAGCCCGGCGAAAGCCGGAUUAAUACCGCAUACGAUCCACGGAUGAAAGCGGGGGACCUUCGGGCCUCGCGCUAUCGGGUUGGCCGAUGGCUGAUUAGCUAGUUGGUGGGGUAAAGGCCUACCAAGGCGACGAUCAGUAGCUGGUCUGAGAGGACGACCAGCCACACUGGGACUGAGAAACGGCCCAGACUCCUACGGGAGGCAGCAGUGGGGAAUUUUGGACAAUGGGCGAAAGCCUGAUCCAGCAAUGCCGCGUGUGUGAAGAAGGCCUUCGGGUUGUAAAGCACUUUUGUCCGGAAAGAAAUCCUUGGCUCUAAUACAGUCGGGGGAUGACGGUACCGGAAGAAUAAGCACCGGCUAACUACGUG